AGCAGCAGAGGACUUUAUCGAUAUGAUGAAUUAUUUGUCCACUUUCAGUUUUUAUAAUCAGCUUCUCCGGAAGUUCUUGUGAGAGAGAGAGAGAGAGAGAGAGAGAUGCCGGGCUGGGGACCGCCGCCGGGAGGACCGCCGGGGCCGGGUCCCUGCGGCUGCUGUGAGUUUUGCUGCAACGGGAUAUCCUCAUGCUUUUAUUUCCUCUGCUGCUGCUGCAUUCUGGAGAGAUGCUGCUGGCCAUGCUUUGGCGGGCCAAGAGGUGGGCCUCCAGGCCCAUUUGGCGGUCCACCUGGGCCUCAUGGCGGCCCGCAUGGUGGACCUUUUGGCGGGCCUCAUGGAGGGCCUCAUGGUGGACCUCAUGGCGGGCCCCAUGGUGGGCCCAGGUUCUGAUCAUCUUGUAUUCUGCAGACUCGUGCUUGUCGUGGGAUUGUGAUUUGUGAGCAAUGCGUAAUAACAUAUGCUUUGUGGACAUUUUUACAUUGAGGUCGUGAUGCGUGUUCUUGCCUCCGUGAUUCAAGCAUUGUGUGUUUCCGAUGGAUCAUUCUGUACAAAAUUCCUCAUGAUUAUAUAGAUAUUCGAUGUUGUAGAUUCAAUCACUGAUUUACAUGUUGAGAGUUGGAUAAUAAAGUCCUAAUGCCAUGUUUUCAUGGCAUCACGGCAA